CGGAGUCCCGUUGGGGCAGGCGGGUUGGGGAAGGUGGACUCUGGCCUCCGGGGUUGGUCCCUCUGUUGGGCCAGCCUUUCCACUUCUGGGGCCAGUUCUUAAUUAGGGAAGGAGCUGGGCCGCACCGAGCCUCCAUAGUGUUCACCUGGAAAUUGGGGGCGCUUCUUAGAUUGACUGGUCGCUGCUGUCAAGCUUCUGAAUUAUUCCUCCUCCUCCUCUUCAUCCUCCCCCCUCCCCUCAUUUGCUUCUUUCUGAACACGGUCUCUCUCCGUAACCUAAACUUACCUAAAGCUGGUCAUUCUCCUACCCUACCUCCCAAGUGCCGGGAUGGCAGGGUUGGUGCCACCACGCCCAGGGAAGUAAAAGACUUCCAAGAAAAAGAUCUAUGGUGUCCUGGUUGUCUCAGAACUGGCUGGAUUUGAACUGAGAGACUGACCCAUCUCCUGCUGUCUUCCAAGUGCUGGGACUAAAGGCAUGGGCUACCAAGCCUGGCUGCUUCUUACUAUUUUUAGAUACAUUCAAAUGUAGUCCAGUCUUUCAUUAAAUUCCUUGUUGCGAUCUUC